rnacentral:rRNA from 1 species
UACGAAGGGUGCAAACGUUGCUCGGAAUUAUUGGGCGUAAAAGCGCACGUAGGCGGCUUGGCAAGUCGGAUGUGAAAUCCCUCGGCUCAACCGAAGGAAGUGCCAUCCGAAACUGCUGAGGCUUGAUACUUAAGAGGAUCGCGGAAUUCCCGGUGUAGAGGUGAAAUUCGUAGAUAUCGGGAGGAACACCAGUGGCGAAGGCGGCGAUCUGGGAAGAUACUGACGCUGAGGUGCGAAAGCGUGGGGAGCAAAGCAGG